UGUCGCCAUCUCCUCCGCCAGCACCCAGUCCCGGCCGCCGAUUGGCGCCACCAUGACGCUGCUCGUCUCCGCGUACUCCUGAUUUCGCGGCUAACCUAAGACGCCCAAUGCCUCCACCUGGCCGAAAAGAAGCCGUCCGCUCCAAGGUGCUCGGCGGGGAUUCGUUCGGGCACUCAUUCAUCUCCAACCGGAAGAGCUGGAGAGUACAAGGUGCGUGCCGUGGCCGAGGUGUGCUCUGGCUGUAUGUGCUGCGGUGGUGAAGCUUGCUGCUGCAGUAAGGGAACCACAUGCGAGUGAGCUCGAGGGCACCUAAGUGCAAUUUUUUUACCGAUGACUCUUGGCGUUGGAUUCGCCAUGGUUUAUCCACUAAUGGUUGCUUUGUUUUCUUCGUUAUUGUGAUACUGCUUGUCUGCUUGCAUGGAGGCAAUUCGAAGGACAUCUAUUGUCUAUGACUCUAUGUGCCAAGUUCAUAGUCUGAACCGAAAUGUCAUUCUUAUUUUAUCAUGAUACUCUUCUUGUACAUUUCUCUAAUUAUUAAUCGCAUGGUGCUAUCUUUACAUGUUUGUGCUUGCACGGACUAAGCUAUCUCUCUACAGUUGUCAAAUCGAUCUUCAAAAUCUUUUCGUCUCAGCCUCUGCUUUUCUUGUAGAUCAUGCUUCAGAUAAGUGGUUAUGUUGACCAAGACACCAGGGGAAUGGUAAAUUUGCUUUCCAUGUUUUGGAGUUGGAUACCUGCGAGAUACCAAAACAAAAGGCAAGAUAUUCUUAAAAUUCUCAUGCCCUGACACAUGUAUUCUAAUUGGGGAUAUCAACACACAGUUCCACAUUUUUAAGGUAUAUUGGAUUUGGGGCAUUCCUGUAGAGGUUGAUGGCUCCAAAGUGUACGUCCUUUACCUGGACACUGAAGGAUGAUGAAGGAUUUGAAAGCAAUGGAAAAUCGAAUGUACUCCGUAUAUGAUGAUAGUAUGUGCUCAUGAUAUACAAACUGAACAACACGUUGAACAUGAAGGUCUUCUGGGAGAGGGAGAAACCCACAUCCUGAGUUAGAAAAAUAAAGUGCUGGAAAUUGUAUCUUCUUGGAAAAACGAUGAGGACGAGACCUACGGUGGCAAUCAACCUGAAAACACUACUGUUCAUUCGCUCUCUAUAACCUGAUGCAAUCUCCUGAGACAAAGGCACUUGGCUUUGCUGCAAGAUUUAGAUCUUCCUAUCUAUUUGCCUACGUAUUUGGUAUACUUUUCACCCUCUCACAUUUCCGCUUCCACAAAACAAAAUCUGAUGUUGAAUACUACAAUUUUCAAGGUAUCGGGAUGUACAAUACCCAGAUAUUGGUGCCACAGGAGGCCUAUCACAUUGGAUGUUCUUCCUAUGAUGCCAGACGGU